AAACGACAAGAACAAUCACUUCGGUGUGCGUACUUGGCGUCGAGUGGCGGACGGGUGAGUAAUGCCUGGGAAUCUACCCUAAUGUUGGGGACAACAUAUGGAAACGUAUGCUAAUACCGAAUGUGAUCUACGGAUUAAAGGUGCCCUCUCCUUGGAAGGUAUCGCAUUAGGAUGAGCCCAGGUGAGAUUAGCUAGUUGGUGAGGUAAUGGCUCACCAAGGCAACGAUCUCUAGCUGGUUUGAGAGGAUGAUCAGCCACACUGGGACUGAGACACGGCCCAGACUCCUACGGGAGGCAGCAGUGGGGAAUAUUGCACAAUGAGCGAAAGCUUGAUGCAGCCAUACCGCGUGUGUGAAGAAGGCCCGAGGGUUGUAAAGCACUUUCAAUUGUGAGGAAGGUUCAGUAGUUAAUACCUGCUGUUCUUGACGUUAACUUUAGAAGAAGCACCGGCUAACUCUGUGCCAGCAGCCGCGGUAAUACAGAGGGUGCAAGCGUUAUUCGGAAUUACUGGGCGUAAAGCGCGCGUAG
rnacentral:rRNA from 1 species